AUGGCGUGGCGAGACCCUGCCCAGCAGCCGCUGAGCCAGGGUGGCACUCUUAGUGCCCUUGGGCUGGACCGAUGUCUCCGGGGACCACCCCGCAUGGCAGCGUCCACCAGGCGGACGCUGAUCCAGGCGGUUGAGGAGUCGAGGCGGACGGCGCCGCAGGAGGCAGCGCCAUCCCAGCAGCAGGAUGCGCCGAGGGCGAGGCCACCAGUCCGGCAGCAAAGGCAGAGACGAGGCAGGAACCAGCGGCGUCCUCCUUGGACCACCGCGACGAGAGACGUGAACCAGCGGCGUCCUCCUUGGACCACCGCGACGAGAGGCAGGAACCGAAACAGAUGCGGCCGGAGCCGGACCGCCAGGGACCGAUGCAGAUGCGACCGGAGCCGGGCCGCCAGGAACCGAUGCAGAUGCGGCCGGAGCCGGGACGGGAGCGACCCCCUCCUGGAGGUCGGCAGGAACUACGACGGGAGCGACCCCCUCCUGGAGGUCGGCAGGGACUGCGGCGGGCGCGACCCCCUCCUGGGGGUCCGCCGGGACUGCGGCGGGCGCGACCCCCUCCUGGGGGUCCGCCGGGACUGCGGCGGGCGCGACCCCCUCCUGGGGGUCCGCCGGGACUGCGGCUGGCGCGACCUCCUCCUGGAGGUGCGCCGGGACUGCGGCUGGCGCGACCUCCUCCUGGAGGUGCGCCGGGACUGCGGCUGGCGCGACCUCCUCCUGGAGGUGCGCCGGGACUGCGGCUGGCGCGACCUCCUCCUGGAGGUGCGCCGGGACUGCGGCUGGCGCGACCUCCUCCUGGAGGUGCGCCGGGACUGCGGCUGGCGCGACCUCCUCCUGGAGGUGCGCCGGAACUGCGGCUGGCGCGACCUCCUCCUGGAGGUGCGCCGGAACUGCGGCUGGCGCGACCUCCUCCUGGAGGUGCGCAGGAACUGCGACUGGCGCGACCUCCUCCUGGAGGUGCGCAGGAACUGCGACUGGCGCGACCUCCUCCUGGAGGUGCGCAGGAACUGCGACUGGCGCGACCUCCUCCUGGAGGUGCGCAGGAACUGCGGCUGGCGCGACCUCCUCCUGGAGGUGCGCAGGAGCUGCGGCUGGCGCGACCUCCUCCUGGAGGUGCGCAGGAACUGCGACUAG
rnacentral:lncRNA from 1 species